UAGGGAAUAUUGGUCAAUGGAUGCAAGUCUGAACCAGCCAUGCCGCGUGCAGGAAGAAGGCCUUCUGGGUCGUAAACUGCUUUUGCCGGGGGAUAAAAUUCCCAUGCGUGGGACAUUGAAGGUACCCGGUGAAUAAGCCACGGCUAACUACGUGCCAGCAGCCGCGGUAAUACGUAGGUGGCAAGCGUUGUCCGGAUUUAUUGGGUUUAAAGGGUGCGUAGGCGGCCUUAUAAGUCAGUGCUGAAAUACUCUAGCUUAACUAGAGGGGUGGCAUUGAUACUGUAGGGCUUGAGUAUAGUCGAGGUAGGCGGAAUUGACGGUGUAGCGGUGAAAUGCUUAGAUAUCGUCAAGAACACCGAUAGUGUAGACAGCUUACUAGGCUAUAACUGACGCUGAGGCACGAAAGUGUGGGGAUCAAACAG
rnacentral:rRNA from 1 species